rnacentral:rRNA from 1 species
AACGAACGCUGGCGGCAGGCUUAACACAUGCAAGUCGAACGCAUCGCAAGAUGAGUGGCAGACGGGUGAGUAACGCGUGGGAACAUACACUUUUCUACGGAAUAGCCCUUGGAAACUGGAAUUAAUACCGUAUACGCCCUACGGGGGAAAGAUUUCUCGGGGAAGGAUUGGCCCGCGUUGGAUUAGCUAGUUGGUGGGGUAAAGAUCUACCAAGGCGACGAUCCAUAGCUGGUCUGAGAGGAUGAUCAGCCACAUUGGGACUGAGACACGGCCCAAACUCCUGCAGGAGGCCGCAGUGGGGAAUAUUGGACAAUGGGCGCAAGCCUGUUCCAGCCAUGCCGCGUGAGUGAUGAAGGCCUUAGGGUUGUAAAGCUCUUUCACCGAUGAAGAUAAUGACGGUAGUCGGAGAGGAAGCCCCGGCUAACUUCGUGCCAGCCGCCGCCGUAAGAC